GGACGAACGCUGGCGGCACGCUUAACACAUGCAAGUCGAACGGAGUUAAUUGAGCUUGCUUAAUUAACUUAGUGGCGGACGGGUGAGUAACACGUGAGCAAUCUGCCUUUCAGAGGGGGAUAGCAGUUGGAAACGACUGAUAAUACCGCAUAACAUAGCGAGACCGCAUGAUCUUGCUAUCAAAGAUUUAUCGCUGAAAGAUGAGCUCGCGUCUGAUUAGAUAGUUGGUGAGGUAACGGCCCACCAAGUCGACGAUCAGUAGCCGGACUGAGAGGUUGAACGGCCACAUUGGGACUGAGACACGGCCCAGACUCCUACGGGAGGCAGCAGUGGGGAAUAUUGCACAAUGGAGGAAACUCUGAAUGCAGCGAUGCCGCGUGAGGGAAGAAGGUUUUCGGAUUGUAAACCUCUGUCUUAUGGGACGAUAAUGACGGUACCAUAGGAGGAAGCUCCGGCUAACUACGUGCCAGCAGCCGC
rnacentral:rRNA from 1 species